UGUCAACUGACAGAAGUGUGAGGUAAUUCUGGAGCCGUGUGAGGGAGUCGCUCUCUGCCUGACACAGAUGAGAGAGUUGUGGUGGGGGAAGAAGAGGAUGCUGCCUCGAAAAUAAUCCCACACACUGCUUCUUCCCCACACUGCUCUACAUAUCUACCUGGAUUUCCCAGUAUUUAUCUCCCUCCCCCAAUUACCUAAGAGUUUAAUGAACUUCCAUCAUUAAAGAGGCAUUGCACCUACAACAUAAUCUAAUAGCUGGCUGGCAAAAUGUGUCAGCAUGCUGGCUUCAUUAUCUAAACCAGGGAUGUUGGGUCCCCAGAUGUUAUUGGACUUCAACUCCCAUAAUCCCCAACCAAAGGCCGCUGGGGAUUAUGGGAACUGAAGUCCAAUAACAUCUGGGGACCCAAUGUUGAGAAUCCCUGAUCUAAACAAUCAUGCUCUGCCUAACUUCACCCGUACUUACUUUCCAUAGACUUUAAUAGGGAAAGAAAACCUUAAUAACUUUUGAACCGCUGCUCAAAACUUCACCAGACCAAAAAACAGCACUGUCCGCAAAAACAGCAAAAAACUUCACCAGACCAAAAAACAGUCUGUCAGAGUACAUCAGAUGUUUUCUUCCAAAUUUGCAAGAAAUUUGUGCUACACUGUUCUAAAGACUGGGGGGAAGCACCAAAGUGUCAGUUUUCUGCACCUUUUUACCUGCUGCAGCUUGGCAUUUUAAAAAUCAGAUAUCUUUGUAGACAUCAUAAAGUAGAUCACACACACUAAGUUUCAAGUUAUUAGUUUAACAGUUGUCAUAUUGAUAAGCAAUAUAAUUUGGAGGCGUAUAAUAGUGGAACUUUAAAAAAAUAAUAAUCUCCUUUAUUAAAGGGGCUCUACUAAGCCCCUUUAAUCCCACAAUUUCCUGCCUAGCAUGAUGAGAGACAAUGUCCAAUCUUUAGCAGCUCUGAACUUAUAUUUUGGUAAUCUCCAAAGGAGAGCAGAUAUUAUCUUUCCUGAGAGUAAAACUCCAACUGAACUGGCAUCAGUUGAGAAAUGGGCAACUGAACAGUGAUGAUGCAAAAAAUUGUGGGGUUGUCCCUGUGGCAACCUGCAGGUUCUGAUGUUGGGGCCAGAAGAUGAGGUCAUGGCAGAAAGCAGCAGAGCAGACCAGGAGCCACCCAUCACAGCAGAGCCAAUGAUGGUCUUUUUAAGAGCUGAGGACAUAAGAAGAGCCCUGCUGGAUCUGGCCUAAGGCCUAUCUAGUCUAGCAUCCUGUCUCACAGAGUGGCCAACAAGAUACCUCUGGGAGCCUACAGCCCUGUAGCACAUUCUUCUCCUGAUGGGAUUUUCCACUAGCUGACAUCACAUACCCUAUUAGAAGACUCCUUCAAGAAGCCAAGAAAAACAAGGCUGUUGGGUAUAAGACUGGAGCAAUCAAGAGCUUACUAUAGGCAACUAAAGGAUUUUCUUCAUGGCUUUGGUGAGGACAGCUAGAAUGUCAGGCAAGAAAAUGGGGAAGCUAUUUUAAAAUCUGUGCCUAUACUGGUGACCUACAGCAUUAUUUAGCAAGGAGUAUUUAUUUUAAGGUCCAAUCAAAAGUAUAUUGACAUUGAUGAAAAGAGUCCUGGAGACUUAAGUGGGCAAUAUUAGGCUUUACGUGCACAUUUUGGAUAUGACAAAUGAAGCGGUAAAAAAUCAUUAUAUGCACUGCACUGCUGCGCCAGUGUACGUGAAGCAUUCUGACAUGACAUCUGAUGUUCCAAAGUGGUUUUUAACUCAUUCUGUGUAGCAUUGCCUCAGGAGAAAACCAUUCAUUCAAGAACAUGUGUGAGAAGAGCUGCAGUAGCCUACCGCAGUGGCCCCGGGCGACAUGCUCUGUGUCACCUGCUGUAUUGCCCUGUCUUUGAGACACCCUGACUUCCUUUUCCUUCAAGCAUCUGAGCAUUUCCCCCCACCUUGUUCACUAAGGAAAGCCAAGUUCCUUUGUCCCAAUGUCCCAGCUCUAAAAAGAGACAUUUUUGACAUGUUCUUUGUUCCUAGAUUGUCUGUGUACACAAUGUAAAAGGCUGCAUCAAUAAAGAAAACAUUGCAAUUUGA